GACGAACGCUGGCGGCGUGCCUAAUACAUGCAAGUAGAACGCUGAAGAGAGGAGCUUGCUCUUCUUGGAUGAGUUGCGAACGGGUGAGUAACGCGUAGGUAACCUGCCUUGUAGCGGGGGAUAACUAUUGGAAACGAUAGCUAAUACCGCAUAACAAUGGAUGACACAUGUCAUUUAUUUGAAAGGGGCAAUUGCUCCACUAUAAGAUGGACCUGCGUUGUAUUAGCUAGUAGGUGAGGUAAUGGCUCACCUAGGCGACGAUACAUAGCCGACCUGAGAGGGUGAUCGGCCACACUGGGACUGAGACACGGCCCAGACUCCUACGGGAGGCAGCAGUAGGGAAUCUUCGGCAAUGGGGGCAACCCUGACCGAGCAACGCCGCGUGAAUGAAGAAGGUUUUCGGAUCGUAAAGCUCUGUUGUAAGUCAAGAACGGGUGUGAGAGUGGAAAGUUCACACUGUGACGGUAGCUUACCAGAAAGGGACGGCUAACUACGUG
rnacentral:rRNA from 1 species